AUGACGGUGUUGAGCUGGAACUGUCGGGGAAUUGGCCAACCCCGUACAGUUCAAGAGCUAGUGAGGCUGGUGAACUCUCUGAAGCCUAAGCUAGUUUUUCUCUCUGAAACGCGGCAAAGCGAUGUUUAUGUCAAUAAGUUACGAUGGAGGCUAGGCCUCAAGCAUUGUAUCCUACAUGCUGACAUUGGAAAAGGUGCAGGCAUUGCACUCCUAUAUGAUGAACAAGUAGAAAUAGAAAAGCUUGCCGUUGGCCCGAGAUACAUCGAUGUCCUGAUUCGCCUCAAUCCGAAUAGUGAGCAAUGGAGAGCUACUUUCGUGUAUGGGGAACCAAAAUCUCAUGAGAGGUAUAACAUGUGGAAUUUGCUGCGAAGGAUUAGAAAAAAUGCUACAGAACCUUGGUUGGUGAUAGGUGAUCUUAACGAAACUAUGUGGCAGAGCAAACACUUCUCUAGAUCUAAGAGAUCAGAGAGUAAUAUGGCUGAUUGUAAUCUGCAUGACCUAGGGUACAAAGGAACACCAUGGACAGCUAACAAGCAGAAGGGGCACAAAAAUGUGAAGGCAAGGUUGGACAGAGGGGUUGCAAUCCCGGAAUGGAGUAAGGUCUUCGCUAAUGCUUCUGUGGAGCACAUUUGCUUCUAG
rnacentral:rRNA from 1 species